GUGCAUGGCCGUUCUUAGUUCGUGGAUUGAUUUGUCUGGUUAAUUCCGAUAACGAACGAGACUAAAUUAUUUAACUAGAUACCUAUCAGCUGUUGAAAUGCUGAAGCCUCAUAU
rfam:Clunio marinus genome assembly, contig: CLTMA_scaffold_019907